UCUUUGGUCACUCCUCAAUCUGUUUCACUGAGUCCCUUCUCCCUGCUCUCAGGUAUAUAUGCAGUGACAUAUCGCAGCACUCUCUUAACAUCCAAUUCUUCAGUUGGGCCCUCCCUGUGAUGAUCAUCAGAGAUACCAACAAGAUAUCCCUCUGACAAGUACCAUACCAGUUACCAUGACAGUCUCCCAAUGAGAAACUAAGCACUACACUGGGAAAACCUAUUUUUGAUGACACAUCUAGAGCUGUGUUACAGAAAAAAAACAUCAACUUCUUGUCUACCUGAAAGGGACUUCUGAACAUAUGGACCCAGUUCUAUUUUGCCAGAUAUUUGAAGAGGCAGAAUUCAAUGCAGUCCCUGCAUUUGAGGGUGCAAAGUUUCCAUCAAGGGACAGAAAAUAAUCACACUUGAAUGAGAGAGCACAUAGGAGCUCCAUUUUGAGAUGCAGAUUUCAGAGGACAUGG